AGCGGGGAGGGGAGGAGCUGCUCCAGCAGUGAUACAAUCUCCUCUCCCCUGCGUGUGAAGCUGGGGAGUGGUAGUUGCCACCAUUUAUAAAACUGGCACAACAGAAGGCUGCCCUGUGAUUGGUCCCGUAAGGUUUCAUCCCAGCCAUAGGGAUCAGGGCAAGAAGGCUAGUGAUCACAAGGAUGGACUUCCACACAUCUCUCCCCCACGGAGCUGCUCAGCUAAGACCCCAAAGCCUAUCCUGUCCCAAGGCUGUGUGUAAAAAUUGGUUCAGUCUUUCUCAGAACAAGGUGAGUGAUAAUUUUCUGUUUCACCUUCUUUCCUCAUUCAUCACAAAUGGGUAAUGCUGGUCAUCUGUGGAAUUCAGAGGUGGUCCAGUAUUGUUGCUGGAGUCUCCAGGACUCGGCCAGGAACUGUUUCUCCCAACAGGGAGAAAAACAGAGUCCACUAGAGAAUCGCUUGCUAACGCAAGAGAGAAGCUGCUCCAACGACCGUUACUGGUGAUAAGAAGGAACUGAAGAGGUGGCGGGUCGGAAGGAACCUAUAUACACAGCCAUAAAAGCACCACUCCAGGGGGCUCCACAGCCAACUUGAUGGGUACUGCUAGGAAAAAACCUUCCGACGAUCGUGCGUGCGGCGUGCACACACCUACUUCAAAUUGACAUGAGCAAUCACUCGAAGAACAAGAGGAGUACCUCUUUCUGCUCCAUAUCUAAUGAAGUACAGUAACUCCCCACUUAACGUCCUCUCGCUUAACGUUGUUUCGAUCUUACAUCCCUGCUCCAUUACAGAACAUGCUUGUUUAAAGUUGUGCAAUGCUCCACUAUAACAUCAUUUGGCUGUCUGCUUUGUCCUCGGCUGGCAGCCCCCCAUCAGCUCCCCAUCCCCCAGCGCCUCCCGCCUGCUGGCAGACCCCGCAGAUCAGCGCCUUCCCCUUGCUCCCCCCGCCUCCUGCCCGUGGCAAUCAGCUGGUUUGCGGCAUUCAGGAGGCUGCGGGGAGGAGUGAGGACGUGGUGCACGGGCUCCCCCCCCCGAAUGCCGCAAACCAGCUGAUUGCCACGGGCAGGAGGCAGGGGAGGAAGGGAGGAGCCUGUGUGCCACAGGCUCCUCCCCCCUGCCUCUUGAAUGCCGCAGGACAGGUGAUCGCCGCGGGCAGGAGGCAGAGGGACCAGGGGGAAGGCCCUGAUCCGCCGGUGGGCAGGAGGUACUGGGGGGCGGAGAGGGAGGAGCUGAUAGGGGGGUUGUCAACCUGUUUAACACCUGUAUUAAAUUGCUUGUUUAAAAUAUAUAUAAUGCCUUUUGUCUGGCAAAAAAAAAAAAAAAAAAAAAAUUUCCCUGAAACCUAUCCCCCCCAUUUACAUUAACUCUUACGGGGAAAUUGGAUUCACUUAACACUGUUUCGCUUAAAGUCCAUUUUUCAGAAACAUAACUACAACAUUAAGUGAGGAGUUACUGUAGAUGAAUCCUUCAUGAACACAAGCCUAAGCACUACACAAAAAACAAGCUUAAAUGACUAUACUUGCAAAAAUAAUAAGAUUAAUCCUCCAUAGGGGCAGAUUGGAUUAUAUGCCUGCACUGGCAGGCUAAAAGAGAGGAAAUAGAGUGGGGCCCUUUUUGUUCCAAAAUGCUGUCUCUGAAGAGUACAUAUGUGGUUUAACGUUUUGAAAAAAGUUGUGUGGGUGAGACUGUCUCCAUAUUCAGUCAAUUUUUUUGUCUGCUGAAUCUGCCAACAAUUGUGCCAAAUAUGAUGGUGGUUUUGUGAUAUGGAUUCAUGUCCGUUAGGUGGAGAUCAAUAAUUUAUUUCAGACAGGCUACUAAGAUGUAGAGAGAUUAGUGAAAAUGAAACAAGAUAAUCUUUACAUCAGUAAUACUCAAAUAUCAGUUGUGUAAGUAGAAUGCAGUUUAUUAUCUAACAUUUAAAAGAGUGAUUUAAAUAUGUUUACCU